GGAGGGGUGGCCGAGCGGUUGAAGGCGCACGCCUGGAAAGUGUGUUUACGGCAAAACCGUAACGUGAGUUCGAAUCUCAUCCCCUCCGCCA
rnacentral:tRNA from 1 species